rnacentral:rRNA from 1 species
GUGUCCCCCGCCAAUUCCUGCAGGCUGAUGAUCUCCAUCGACUGGUUCUCCUCUUCGACCUGCUCGUUGACGUACCAGUCGAGCAGCGUCUGCGUCGCAUAGUCCUUCUCGCCAGACGCCAGGCCAUAAAGGUCGUUGAUGGCUGCUGUUACGUCUUCCUCGUGCCUGAGGACGUUCUUGAACACAUCAAGCAGGUUCUUGUACUUGGCGGGUGGUUCGGCGAUGACAUUGAGCUUAACGGAUCCGCCGCGGUUGCCGAUGUAGUCGACGAGCUUCGUCGCGUGGACGAGCUCCUCUUCCCACUGGAUGCGCAGCCAGCUGGCCGCUCCCUGCAGGUUCUGCUCGUCGGCCCAGGCAGACAUCGCCAGGUAAACGUAGGCGGAGGCCAGCUCGCGGUUGAUCUGCUUGUUGAGGGCGUUCUGGACCUUGCUGGAGAUUCGUGGCAUGUGUCGCUCCUUGGUGAUCUGGCUUCGGAGACAAACAUAACACGCACCCAGCGUAGGGAGGAAAGGCUAGAGAAAGGCCUUCGCGUCGACUCCUAGCUCCCGCAAGAGUCCGGCAACCCUCGCGCGGAUGUCCUCGCGGAUACGCCGAACGACAUCGAUCUGCUGGCCGGCGGGAUCAACC